ACACGUAGGGGCCUGACGUUGUUCGGAAUCAUUGGGCGUAAAGGGCGCGCAGGCGGCCGUCCAAGUCCGGUGUUAAAUGGUCGGGCUCAACCCGAUCAUGCGCUGGAAACUGGGCGGCUUGAGUCCCGUAGGGGAUGCCGGAAUUCCAGGUGUAGGGGUGAAAUCUGUAGAUAUCUGGAAGAACACCGAUGGCGAAGGCAGGCAUCUGGCCGGAGACUGACGCUGAGGCGCGAAGGCGCGGGGAGCGAACAGGGUUAGAUACCCUGGUAGUCCGCGCAGUAAACGAUGCGCACCAGGUGUCGGGCGGCAGCGCCCGGUACCGGAGCUAACGCGAUGAGUGCGCCGCCUGGGGAGUAUGCCCGCAAGGGUGAAACUCAAAGGAAUUGACGGGG
rnacentral:rRNA from 1 species